GAUGAACGCUGGCGGCGUGCCUAAUACAUGCAAGUCGAGCGAACAGACGAUGAGCUUGCUCCUCUGACGUUAGCGGCGAACGGGUGAGUAACACGUGGAUAACCUACCUAUAAGACUGGGAUAACUUCGGGAAACCGGAGCUAAUACCGGAUAAUAUAUUGAACCGCAUGGGUCAAUAGUGAAAGACGGUUGUGCGGUCACGUCUAGAUGCAUCCGCGCGGCAUUAGCUAGUUGUUAAGGUAACGGCUUACCAAGGCGACGAUGCGUAGCCGACCGGAGAGGGUGAUAGGCGACACUGGAGGUUGGACACGGUCCAGAGUCCUACGGGAGGCAGCAGUAGGGAAUCUUCCGCAAUGGGCGAAAGCCUGACGGAGCAACGCCGCGUGAGUGAUGAAGGUCUUCGGAUCGUAAAACUCUGUUAUUAGGGAAGAACAAAUGUGUAAGUAACUAUGCACGUCUUGACGGUACCUGAUCAGAAAGCCACGGCUAACUACGUG
rnacentral:rRNA from 1 species